UACGGGGGGGGCAAGCGUUGUUCGGAAUUACUGGGCGUAAAGGGCUCGUAGGUGGCCAACUAAGUCAGACGUGAAAUCCCUCGGCUUAACCGGGGAACUGCGUCUGAUACUGGAUGGCUUGAGUUUGGGAGAGGGAUGCGGAAUUCCAGGUGUAGCGGUGAAAUGCGUAGAUAUCUGGAGGAACACCGGUGGCGAAGGCGGAUCUCUGGACAGUUCCUGACGCUGAGGCGCGAAGGCCAGGGGAGCAAACGGG
rnacentral:rRNA from 1 species